GUGUUUAUGACGCUGAGGUUCCACCUGUUCCCAUCCCGAACACAGUAGUUAAGCUCAGUAGUGCCGAAGAUACUUGGCGGGCAGCUGCCCGGGAAAAUAGGACGACGCC
rnacentral:rRNA from 1 species